rnacentral:rRNA from 1 species
UUCCUACGGGAGGCUGCAGUGAGGAAUUUUGCGCAAUGGGGGAAACCCUGACGCAGCGACGCCGCGUGGAGGAUGAAGGCCUUCGGGUCGUAAACUCCUGUCAGAGGUGAAGAACGCCCGCAAGGGCUUGACGGUAACCUCAGAGGAAGCCCCGGCCAACUACGUGCCAGCAGCCGCGGUAAUACGUAGGGGGCAAACGUUGCUCGGAAUUACUGGGCGUAAAGGGUGAGUAGGCGGCUGUGCAAGUCAGAGAUGAAAUCCCGCGGCUCAACUGCGGAACGGUCUUUGAAACUGCACGGCUUGAGGACAGUAGAAGAGAAUGGAAUUCCCGGUGGAGCGGUGAAAUGCGUAGAUAUCGGGAGGAACACCUGAGGCGAAAGCGAUUCUCUAUACUGCUCCUGACGCUGAGUCACGAAAGCCAGGGGAGCAAACGGGAUUAGAUACCCCAGUAGUC